rnacentral:misc_RNA from 1 species
CCAAUAGCGUAUAUUAAAGUUGCUGCAGUUAAAAAGCUCGUAGUUGAAUUUCGGGACUAAUAUGUUGGUCGUGCCUCGGUACGUACUGAUAUUUUUGGUUUCUCCCUUCUGACGAACCUUGAUGUCAUUAAUUUGGUGUCUUGGGAAAUCAGGACUGUUACUUUGAAAAAAUUAGAGUGUUUAAAGCAGGCUCACGCUUGAAUACAUUAGCAUGGAAUAAUGAAAUAGGACGUUUGAUUCUAUUUUGUUGGUUUCUAGGAUUGACGUAAUGAUUAAUAGGGAUAUUUGGGGGUAUUAGUAUUCAAUUGUCAGAGGUGAAAUUCUUGGAUUUAUUGAAGACUAACUACUGCGAAAGCAUUUGCCAAGGAUGUUUUCAUUAAUCAAGAACGAAAGUUAGGGGAUCGAAGACGAUCAGAUACCGUCGUAGUCUUAACCAUAAACUAUGCCGACUAGGAAUCGGGUGAUGUUAAUUUUUUAAUGACUCAUUCGGCGCCUUACG